CAGCCACAUCAUAUUGAAACAUUGCUUCACAUAUGAUCACCGAAGUUAAGCAAUGUUUAGCCUGGUGAGUACUAAGAUAGGUGACCAUUUAGGAAUACCAGGUGCUGUAA